ACGAGGUGGGGUGGGGGUGGGGCUGCUAGGAAAGCACUGUGGAAUUCAGAGUGAGGAGGGACUGGAGGGAGCUGGGUCUCCAUUCUGCAUUUACUGGUAAGCCCCUGGGGUGCUGUGUGUUUUCUGAAGCUACCACAGCAAGUCACCACAAGGCUGUGACUGACACAACGAAAGCUUGCUGUCAUUCUGCAGACUAGUAGUCCAGCAUGGCCUCAGGGGACAACAUGAAGCCGUUGAUAUGACUGCAUCUCUUACUAGAAGAUUCUUAACCAAUUCCAAAGUCAUCUAGGAUGACAUUUCCUAAUACAGUGUAGAAAAGUCUAAUCUGAGAAUGUGAUGUCACUCACAUUCUCCAGUGGCUUUAUUAGAAUUUCUGUAUUAAAAAAACAUAAGGAAAAACCUCUUGACUGUUAAGGGGGAACUUGAGGAGAACAUCUCCGGGGAUUACUAAAUAUGAUGAUUUGAAGACUUUCUCAAGAUCUUCUCAGCAGGCUUUCAGAAGCUGGCUUCUACUUCUUUGUCUUGCUAGUGACAUUUGGGGACAGUGCUUAGAGGACUCAGGUUGCCUUCCCCUUGCUGCUGGCUUCUGGCCCUCUUCCUUCAUAUCCAAGGGGCCUCACGGAGUGCAGACUCGGUAUUCCAUCGGGCAGUUCUCGGUAAUCUGGUAACACGUGUCCGAUGCCAGUUCCAGUUCUCUGGUUGAAUCUGAUAGGUACAGAUCCCAAACCCAUGUUGGACAUGGUGUGGGCAGGAUAACCUGGCAGGCCUGGGAGUCAAAUGAAGAGAGGAGCUGAGGGCUGCUGCAAAAGUCUCAGGAUGGCUGACUUGUCUCCUUCUGAAGUUUCUAGACUUGACUCUGACACAAAGGCCUUUGGGAGAACAGACUCAAGGGACAAGGGGUGAUGCUUCGCUUCCCUCAUUGGAGCCCCUUUCAGAGGGGAAAACUCACAGGCAGGAACCUGCGUGCCAGCCCUGACCCAGAGCAACAGUGAACAGUCCCCGCUGUGUUCCACAGCGCUCAUCCAGAAACACUGCGGGGUUUCCAUCACAUUCUGCAGUCCACAGGAAACCUGGAAGCUGAGUCUUUUUCUUCUGUGAUCUCUGCCUCCCCUGCUGGCCUGUGCUCUAUGGGAGCUCAUUAGCUGAACCCCAGGACCAAGGACAAGCAAGCAGGGCUGAAUAGAGACUUUAUGAACAGCUGCUACUCCGUGGUGUUGUCUCCUUGUGAAGAAAGGGGUGAGCCUGGAAGUAGAAAGCAGGGGAUUUGGUUUUGUUAUUGCGUAAUCUUCCUGGAAGGCGGGCGAGGGGGGUGGUAAGAAGAGCAUUUGUCACUUGAACUGUCUGCUUGGGACAGUAUUCCCUGACCCCUUUCCAGGACUUCCAUAACUUGGCACUGAGUUGGCCCUUAAGUUGGCAAACAAACCUUGGCACUGAGCAACACUUAAGAGGUAGAAAGAAUGUUUUCAUGCCUUCAGCAGCUCCAGCAGACUCUGAAGGCUGAGCGGUAGCAGUUCUAUCGCCUGCCAUCCAGCCCCAGAGUAGAAGGGUCCGGCAUCUCCAGCCAGGUAGCCUGUAUGUCAGGCUCACAUAGGCUAUGUAUGGCAUCUCCAUCUCGGGAGAACAAGCGUUGAUGCUUCAGUUCUGGCCUCGUCAUUACCAAUGUCCUUCAAUGGUCCCUCUUUACUCUGAGGGGAGCAGAAAAGGGGGUCUCAUUUGGAUGCCAUGAGAUAAGCUAAUUUCUAGAACCUUCUCUAUCUUCUGUCAGUUCUAGUUUGGAUUAGCGAUUAGCUGUCAGAACCAGACAGACAACUCUACUCAGACAAGUACCAGAUGGGGAGCGCUGAGUCCUCGGGUGCCGAAGGGACCUCAGAUGAUUCCUACAGGGCCUGUGCUUUCUUCCCCUGCUUAGAGAACAGCACAUAGGUCCUUAGCGGCUUGCACAUAAACAUAAAUGAAAGAUCUUUAGCCCCAUAAGAAAGAAAAAAUAAACAAAAAACCCUGAGCAGCCUGGUUUGGGAUAAAAACAUGCAGUGUACAUGAUUUUUGUAAAAAUUAACUUUGGCCAGAGCACUUGGGAAGCAAGCAGCAUCUAAGCUGAGACAGGCAGUCAUGCCUGAAAACCUGUCUAGUUGACAAGCAUAUGCAAAUGAGGAAAGAGGGAGGCCUCCCUGGUCCUAGUCAGCAGGCUAGGCUGACGGCCAUGACAGGCUUCAAACUGACAGUUAAGGAGACUAGGCCUAAACCUCUGUUUCCAAGACCUGGGAAAUUCUUGGCGAGUCCAGGCCUGCCUCAGAAGGUGCCCCACCACCUGGCCUGAGGCAAGGACAAUGGAUGAGUCAGCUGCAGUUUCCAGAUCGACUCCCCCUAGCAAGUUUCCAGCCCCUCACACCUCAGUAAUGGAAUGUCUAUAGAGAUGGACCCAACAGAUUAACGUAGAGGUCACCUACCCCAGAAUUCCCUAAUGUGCUUUAAAUCAGGCCUGUAAGCUCACUUGGUUGACUCUCUCUGUUCUGGUAAUGGGAGAGCCCAGCAUGCUGGACUACAGAAUAAAACACUCUUUGUGUCUAUAUACUAUUCAAGUCCGGGCUUUCGUUCUUUGUGGAAAUAUGGACCCUUACAGUAGGAAGGAGGUAGCCUAGCAUGGUGUGAGGUACUGGGACAGAGCAAAGAGUCUUCCAGAGAAGAGGGUGAGAAGAGACUCUUGGCUCCAUGAAAAAGCUAAAGCCAGCAAGAACAUAAGGCGGGAACUUGAACAGUGUCAGAGCUGUGAGCUGAUCUGUGGGGUUUCUGCCCCUGGCUAGUGACGUAGCCCGGAGGAGUCCUUGCCACCCAUGCCUUCGGGUAGAGGAGGAGUAGGAUUUGCAGAGCGUUCAGAGCUUCAUCCUGGUACCAAGGCCCUUACCCACAGCUUUGCGGUGCUUGUCAUUAUGUACCCACAGUAAACCACAAUCCAAAAGUAUCAAAUGGGAAACUCUAAAAAUAAAUAACUCAAGAACUUGACAUUGCGGCCUCUGUCAGGAACUCUGCUCCCAUCAGCUCCCUCUGACUCCCGGAUGGGAAUUAUUCCCUCGUGCAGUAUAACCUCACCCUGCCCAUCAGCGCUUACUUCGUUCCCAGCCGUUUCAGCUCUCAGGCCUACUGUGGGGUUACAGUAAUCUAGAUCCACAUUAUGUUUAUGUUGUUGAUCUUGAGUUGUGCUUAAUUUUACUUAUUAAACUUAUUCUUACUAUGGGUAUCCAUAGGAAAACA
rnacentral:lncRNA from 1 species